GUGACUUCCGGUUUCCGGCGGAGCCCUAGGCGGACCGGUGCAGCAGUCAUGGCAGCGGAAGAGAAGGAUCCUUUGAGCUAUUUCGCUGCUUACGGGAGCAGCAGCUCAGGCUCCUCGGACGAGGAGGAUAACAGCGAGCCGGAGGAGACAAGUCGUAAGGCCCAAGAUCCAGCGAAGUCGGCCGGCGACAAUGGGAACAAGGCGGAGAAGCGGCUGCCUGGACCAGACGAGCUGUUCCGGAGCGUGAGUCGCCCGGCCUUUCUCUACAAUCCGCUCAACAAACAGAUAGACUGGGAGAGGCACGUCGUCAAAGCUCCAGAGGAGCCUCCAAAGGAAUUCAAAAUAUGGAAGUCAAACUAUGUACCACCUCCGGAGACGUACUCUACAGAGAAGAAACCUCCCCCUCCAGAGCUGGAUAUGGCAAUAAAAUGGUCCAACAUAUAUGAGGACAAUGGUGAUGAUGCCCCACAGAAUGCUAAGAAAGCUAGGCUUCUACCAGAAGGGGAGGAGACAGUGGAAUCAGAUGAUGAAAAAGAUGAGCAUACUUCUAAAAAGCGCAAAGUAGAACUGGGAGAACCAACAAAGAAGAAAAAAUAGACAAGAAUGACAAGAAUCUUUGGACUGCAAAACUUGUGGGUCUUUUUGGCAAAUUAAGUUGAUACUGUAAAUUAUUAUGAAACAACGUCUCCAUGAAAAUAUAUGUUAAUUAACUAAUGAGUAUUCCUGCUGGAACGUUCCACUGUAGAAUUCAUUUUUUAUUUAAAAAUAUGUAUUUAAAACUGAAAUGGUGACUUGUGAUUGUGUAAUUGACAAUGCUUGGAAGCAUUCUUGCUACCGCAGAAUUGGUGACAUGCUUUGAGUUUCAUCCCAAGUUGACAUGCCAAUGUUCUGUGAACCUUUUAUAAAGGAGUAUAUUUUUAAAGUAAAUACAUUGUAACGUACUGUGAACUUGUAGGGUGCUUUUCAACAGUGUUUGUACAGUGUAAAUAGAUCAUGAAAAUAAAUUUACCGAUAUUACUGCAUAACAUUAACAUUUGAAUAUCUGUGACAAGUACCCUUUUUGCCAUGUGACCUUCUAAUAGUGGAUAUUUCCAUUUUGGAAGUGCCUCCAUGUUCUAGGUGCUUUGUGCAUGUAUUAUCUCUGAUCUGUAGCCUAAUAAAGCAGGUAUUAGUAGCCUCAUUUUAUAAUAGAGAUUAAUUUAUCCAAGGUUACACAGCUAGUGAGCAGUGGAUUUGGGAUUUAACUCAGGACACUUGAAUUCUGGAAAUCACACUAAACCACGUAUCUGGCAAUCUGCAUUUAGUCAUCUCUUAGGAACUGCAGUUAUCCUAUUUUCCAGGUACUCUUCUGUGUUAAUCAGGGGAGAUCUCCUCUCCUGGUUAUGUUACUGCACUUAUCACAUACACCUUAUGUUAUGAUCUUUUGUAUAUUUGCCUCUUAAAUAGUAAGCUUGCCAGAGAUAAGGAUCUUCUACAAGUUGCUAGAUGUAGCAAAUGAAAUUAUAGGACAGUCAGUUAAAUUUGAAUUUUAAAUAACAAUUGAUGUUCUAGUAUAUGCGAUAUUUGGGACAUAAUUAUACUAGAAAUUUGUUUAUCUGAAAUUCAAAUAUAAUAGCCUCUUCUGUUU